GCUUGGUGGUUUAAUCCUUUGGGUAGUUUAGGGCAUAGAUAAUACUCCUUUGAGGAGUUUACGGCCAAAAGACCAUAUCCCUUAUAGUUUACGACCGUAAACUCUCAUGGGAUGGGUGUUUUAAUUCUUUCGAGUCCAAAACACAAGUAGGAUAAUUUCUAGGCAUUUGAUUAAGGCUAUGGAGGACCCUAGGCACACUUUGGUGCCCUUACUUGGUGUUUACGGCCCAAGAGUAAUUCCUUGGCCGUAAACUCCUUUUAAGGGGUGUUCUUGAUGCUUUAAUGUCUCCAAAUUAGCUAGAAGUAAUUGAGGAUUAAAGUCUAAGGCCAUUAGGAGUGAUUAGGGCACAUUUAAGCCCUUGAAUUUGGUGUUUACGGUCCAAGAAACUCUUGGGCCGUAAACACCUAAAGCUAGGUUUUCUUGAUUGUUUUCUAGCCUUAAAUGAUCAUACAUUAUCCUAAACUAGUUACCUAACAAGGAAAUGGGACUAGAUAGCUCUUAAGCUUCGUUUUGGAGUUUACUCCCCAAGAACGUUCUUGGGCGGUAAACUCCCGGAUCUCACAUAUUUGACAUGUAAUCUAUGUUAUUAAGCAUAAAACAAGCAUUAUAACACAACUAGAGAAGUGUACUCACGAUUUGGGAUGAAAACCCGAAGAUCCGUGAGAGAGAAAAUGGCUUUUCUCUAGUUGGAAAUGUGAAUAAUGAAUGAAUUUAGUUCAGAAAUCUAUUUAUAGUCCUGAAAUAUUUUGGCAGAAAAUAUUUUUAUUCCGGAAUUGGACUCUAACAUUAUGAAGUUUUGAAAGGCUCAAGUUUCACAAACCCAUGAGCAUCCACUCUCCUGAUAUCUCCUUAAACGUAAACCCUAAUGUACACAAACUUAUUCGGAAAAGUCUGAAAUUCAUUGAAACUGGACUAGCUUCUAUUGAAUAGAUAAUGUUCGUACAAAAUGGAAAUUUCGGGUUGUCACANNNNNNNNNNNNNNNNNNNNNNNNNNNNNNNNNNNNNNNNNNNNNNNNNNNNNNNNNNNNNNNNNNNNNNNNNNNNNNNNNNNNNNNNNNNNNNNNNNNNNNNNNNNNNNNNNNNNNNNNNNNNNNNNNNNNNNNNNNNNNNNNNNNNNNNNNNNNNNNNNNNNNNNNNNNNNNNNNNNNNNNNNNNNNNNNNNNNNNNNNNNNNNNNNNNNNNNNNNNNNNNNNNNNNNNNNNNNNNNNNNNNNNNNNNNNNNNNNNNNNNNNNNNNNNNNNNNNNNNNNNNNNNNNNNNNNNNNNNNNNNNNNNNNNNNNNNNNNNNNNNNNNNNNNNNNNNNNNNNNNNNNNNNNNNNNNNNNNNNNNNNNNNNNNNNNNNNNNNNNNNNNNNNNNNNNNNNNNNNNNNNNNNNNNNNNNNNNNNNNNNNNNNNNNNNNNNNNNNNNNNNNNNNNNNNNNNNNNNNNNNNNNNNNNNNNNNNNNNNNNNNNNNNNNNNNNNNNNNNNNNNNNNNNNNNNNNNNNNNNNNNNNNNNNNNNNNNNNNNNNNNNNNNNNNNNNNNNNNNNNNNNNNNNNNNNNNNNNNNNNNNNNNNNNNNNNNNNNNNNNNNNNNNNNNNNNNNNNNNNNNNNNNNNNNNNNNNNNNNNNNNNNNNNNNNNNNNNNNNNNNNNNNNNNNNNNNNNNNNNNNNNNNNNNNNNNNNNNNNNNNNNNNNNNNNNNNNNNNNNNNNNNNNNNNNNNNNNNNNNNNNNNNNNNNNNNNNNNNNNNNNNNNNNNNNNNNNNNNNNNNNNNNNNNNNNNNNNNNNNNNNNNNNNNAGUGUUUGGAUGGUCCUCUCACUCUGUCCGUCGGUCUGUGGAUGGUAGGCGGUCCUCAUGUCCAGCCUUGUUCCUAGCGAAUGUUGUAGUGACUGCCAGAAUCUUGAGGUGAACCUACUAUCUCUAUCGAAGAUAAUGGACAUAGGUACACCAUGUAGCCGCACUAUUUCUCUAAUGUAUGUUCUCGUAAGUUUCUCCAUCUUGUCAGUUUCUUUGAUAGGCAGGAAGUGUGCAGACUUGGUCAAUCUAUCGACGAUGACCCAUAUGGUAUCAAGUCCACCCGUUGUCUUGGGCAACUUGGUUAUGAAAUCCAUAGUGAUCCGCUCCCACUUCCAUUCUGGAAUCUCUGGUUGUUGCAGUAAACCAGAGGGCUUCUGGUACUCGACCUUAACCUUUGCGCAAGUAAGGCAUUUACUUACGAAGGUAGCAAUCUCUGCUUUCAUAUUAGGCCACCAGUAUAGCUUUUUAAGAUCCAGAUACAUCUUAUCUGAACCUGGGUGGACGGAAUACCGAGUGUUGUGCGCCUCGGUCAUGACCAAGUCUCGGAAACCACCAUGCUUCGGUGUCCAGAUCCGGUUCAUGAAAUAUAAGGCUCCGUCGCCCUUGGCUUCUAAAUUCUUGUCCAUUCCUCUAAGGGAUUCACUCGUCACAUUCUCAGGUUUCAUGGCUUCAAGUUGAGCUGCCUGAAUUUUCUUCGACAAGUGUGAAUGGAUGGUUAUUGACAUUGACUUGACUUUGCGACCAGAAUAUUCCUUCCGACUUAGGGUGUCUGCUACAACGUUGGCUUUACUCGGAUGAUAACGAAUAUCGCAUUCGUAGUCACUGAGUAGCUCGACCCACCGUCGUUGUCUCAUGUUGAGCUCCUUCUGAUCGAAAAUGUGUUGUAAACUCUUGUGGUCGGUAAAGAUAGUGCUNUUUCGUUCCGUACAAGAUCUUCACAGCAAACACCACUGCUCCUAGUUCAAGAUCGUGGGUCAUGUAGUUAACUUCGUGUGUCUUUAAUUGUCUCGAGGCGUAGGCGUUGACCUUACCUCGCUGCAUCAGAACACACCCGAGCCCUUGAUUUGAUGCAUCGCAAUAGACUACGAAGUCUUCUAUCCCUUCGGGGAGGGAUAGUAUCGCCACGAUGCACAAGGCUCGCUUGAGCGUUUGGAACGCUCUCUCAUGUUUCUCUUCCCAGUCAAAGGCAAUGCCUUUCUGGGUCAGGGUUGUAAGAGGUUUCGCUAUUCCGGAGAAGUUCUGUAUGAACCUGCGGUAGUAGCCAGCGAGGCCUAGAAAUUGACGAAUUUCAGUAGGCGUCUUCGGUGCUGACCAGUCCUCAGUGGCUUUAAUUUAGGAUGGGUCCACGUGGAUUCCCUCUUCGCUUACCACGUGUCCUAAGAAUUCGACUCUUCGGAUCCAAAAUUCACAUUUCGAGAACUUCGCAUAAAGUUUCUCUUUUCGUAAUGUCCCUAGAACUUGUCGCAGAUGAUCGCCAUGCUCUUUCUUACUUCGGGAGUAGAUCAGGAUGUCGUCAAUGAAAACGAUGACGAACUGAUCCAAGUAAGGUCGGCAUACUCUAUUCAUCAGAUCCAUGAAGACUGCGGGCGCAUUGGUCAAUCCGAAUGGCAUCAGCACGAACUCGUAAUGUCUGUAACGAGUUCGGGAGGUUGUCUUCGACACAUCCUCCUCUAGUACUCGUAACUGGUGAUAUACGGAUCUCAGAUCAAUUUUGGAAUAAUAGUUCGCCCCUUGCAGUUGGUCAAAUAGAUCGUCUAUGCGAGGCAGAGGGUAUCGAUUCUUGACCGUCAGUUUGUUGAGUUCCUUGUAGUCGAUAGACAUACGGAAUGAUCAGUCUUUCUUCUUAACGAACAAGAAUGGUGCUCUCCAAGGUGAGAAACUUGGUCUUAUAAAGCCCUUGCUGAGCAGUUCGUUAAGUUGACCAGAGAGUUCCUGCAUCUCAGUUGGUGCUAAGCGGUAGGGCGACUUGGCUACUGGGGUAGCUCCUGGGACUAAGUCGAUUCUGAACUCAACCUGUCGUUGCGGAGGUAAUCCAGGUAGCUCUUCUGGGAAAAUGUUGGGGAAGUCACUCACUAUUGGGAUGUUCUUUAGUUCUUUCAUUUCGAGGCUAGUGUCAACGACGUGAGCAAGGAAUGCGUCGUAUUCUUUACGCAGAUACUUCUGUGCUUGAAUACUUGAUAUAAUACUUAGACUUGCACCAGGUUUAUCGCCGUAGACGAUAAGAGUUUCGUUAGACGGGAGGUUUAGACGGACUGCUUUCUCGUAGCACAUGAUGUCGGCGCGAUGAAGACUUAACCAAUCCAUGCCGAUGAUAAUGUCGAAGCUUUUUAUUGAGACCGGCAUGAGGUUGAUUGGGAAUGAAUGGUUAUCUAGAGUUAGGGUACAACCUAAGUAUAUGCUAUUUGUACUUUCAGUUUUCCCAUUAGCCAUUUCUACUGUGAAUUGUUCUUCAAGUGUGUGUGGUUGUUGCUUAAGCAUGCGAGCAAAUUUAUGGUUUACGAAGCUUCGCUCCGCACCACUAUCGAACAGAAUGCAUGCAUAGGAGUUAUCGAGGAGCAACGUACCCGUCCCCACUGUCGGGUCAGCAACUACUUCCCCAUGGCCUAUAGCUAGUACCCUCCCUGCUCCUCCAGCAUUCUUCGCUUCGGGGCAGUCCCUCUUAAAGUGGCCUGCUUCGCCACAUCCAUAGCAGGUCGGGCUCGCGCCAGAGCCAGGGACUUGGGUGAUCGGUUGUGCCGGGAACUUACAGAAACGGACGGUGUGUCCUUUCCUGUUGCAGUUAGAGCACUGCAUUUCACGGCAGGGGCCGUUAUGGUGGAAGUUGCAUUUGUUGCACUUAGGCAAACUUCCAGCAUACUGCUUCAUCGGAGCAGUAGCAGCAGCAGGGGUUACCGUGGCAUGCACUGCCACCAUUUGCUGCUUUUUGGCAGCUCGCUGCUUCUUCUUGUCAUCUCAGAACUUCCGCUUGGUGUCAGCGGGUUUGGAGGGUUCUGGGAUGGCUAGGGUUGUUGUGGUUGCAGGGGUUUUGACUCCAUGGUCAAUGAGUCGUUGUGCCAAUCGCUUGGCACUGUCGAAGGUAGCGGGGUUUGACGCUAGGACAUUCCCCUGAUACGGAGGCACUAGCCCCCAUAUGUACCUCUCGAUCUUCUUCCCCUCGGUGGGAACCAUAUUGGGGCAGAGGGCCACCAGCUCGCUGAAUCGGGCAGUAUAAGCGACCACAUUGGUGCCCUUCAUCGACAGGUUCCAGAGUUCCUGCUCCAGUUUCUGGAUCUCGCCCCUCGGGCAGUAUUCCUCAGUCAUGAGGUCUUUCAUUGUUUCCCAGCCCAUGUCGUUGGCUACGACGAGAGUUAGGGCUUUGACGUGGCCGUUCCACCACGUUAGGGCUUUACCCUCAAAGGUGCANUAUUUGACUUUGCUCGCAGCAGGGCAUGAACAGAUUUCGAAGACUGAUUCAGUCUUCUCGAACCAUUAUGAGAGGGCAAUGACUCCGCCGGUGCCAUGGAAGGACUUCGGCUUGCAGUUGGUGAAAUCCUUGUAGGAGCAUUCUCUCGAGCGUACAGGGGUUUCAACCAGAAUUGAUUCAACAGGGGUUCCACCUUUGCUGGCAUCAGAAGAGUGAUACUGAGCCAUGGCAGUUGCCACUGCUGCGGCUACGGCAGCAUUCAGGGCUGCAGUAUCGAUGACCGGAGGCAGAGGAGGCGGUGGAGGUGCAGGGUUAUUCCUAGGAUAUUUGCAAGGAGGCAUCUUUCAGCUAUAAGUUUAUAAGGAUAAGAAAAAGUGGUAAGAAUCAAUUUGUAAGUAAGGUGAGAGUGACACAUGGACUAACUAACCAUAGCCCAACAGUUGAAUGAGUGUUUGAGAUCAUAACAAGGAAUAUUAGUAGGAAAACACAAGUGUAUAGAUAUUUCCCAUAGAUAGAUAGGUGUUAGUAAUACUGGUAUUACUGAUGUAAUAGGUUCAGGGAAAAUCGACCUAACAGUAGGUCUUACAUCAUACCAUACAGAAAGUUUGAUAGUUCCUAGAUUCCUAAAUAGAGUACUGAAAGUUAGGAAUAUUUUACAGACAAGUGCUACUUAGAGCACAGAUGUUAAAGNCGGGGUUGACUCCAAGUUGUGUAUCAAAUCCAAUGUACAUAGUAAUCAUAGUAAACAACCAUUACAUUACAUAUAUAUGAAAGUUUACAUUUGGUUCAAAAGUAAAUUGUACAAAAGUUAUACAUAUAUCAUAUGAACAAAACGAGACGAGUCUUCCACGCACUCCGUCUUCACCAAAAGAGAUCAUUGGGUACCUGUCUAACUUGGACCUGAGAAUACAAGCAGUUUGAAAAUCAGCAUAAAGCUGGUGAGUUCAUAAGCAGUUUUGUUUUAUGAAAAUGUAUCGGUUUCCUUUAGUUUUCCGAAAAGGCUUGUUAUCCAAGAAAAUCCCAUAUUUUCUUAUGUAAAGUUAGUUUAGUUAUCUUUAGUUACAAUUCAGUUACACGUUAUAAGUUAACCCCAGGAAAAUCCCAUAUUUUCCUAAAUGCAAGAUUGAUUGAACAACAUAGAGUAUAGUUUAAUACACAAAACUAUAUAUUGAAAUCAUAGGAUUACUAUCCCGAAUUAGAUAUGAAAUAUCAUAAUAUACACAAACUGUAGAUAAAAUGUAGUUUGAAAACCUUGGGACUAACAUCCCGAACUAGUUACAAGAUAGUUUGAUAAAACCAUGGGAUCACUAUCCCGAAACUAGAUAUAAGAUAAUUGGAUAAAGUCAUGGGAUUAUCAUCCCGUACUAGAUAUAGUUUCAAAACCAUGGGAUUACUAUCCCGUACAAGAUAUAGAUUUGAAAUCAUGGGACUAUCAUCCCGUACUAGAUAUGAGAUAUAUACAUACUGAAAACCAUGGGAAUAACAUCCCGUACCAGAUACAAGUUCGAUAGACUGAAAACCAUGGGACUACCAUACCGGACUAGAUACGAAAUAGUUUGAUAAAACCAUGGGAUCACUAUCCCGAACUAGAUAUAGAUUCUAAAACCAAAGCUGUGAAUACACUUAUAUUAAUACAUAUUAUGAGUCGGGUAACCAUGCUGAUACGACAACGAGACCUCCUUGACGUUUAUCAGACGUCGGACGAUAACCAGAAUUUGUCAUCCUAGGCGUGCCCGCCUAACUGUAGCUAGCAGUUAAGAUGUGGGAUUGUCAGUCCUGAAUAGAUCUAUUCACAAAUUCCUCGCUCUCCCUCCAGGAGACUCUGGUUACACUUCCGGAGAGGAUUUAUUGAUCAUCCAUAAAGGGUAGUGACUACUCACAAACUAGUACUAAAUUGUUCAUAGGAUUCUCAUACGAUAUCAAACAUACAAAGGUUGUGAAACAUAAUACAGUGAAAAUAGAUACGUACAAAGAGAUUAUCUAACAAUACAUUCAAAUGAUACGGAGAUAAACUGAAUCAGACAUAGUUUAUCUAAUAACUGUAUACAAAUAUCAGUACAUGAUAUAAAGAGAAAUAUAGAACCCCAAAUUAUUCCCAUAAUAAUUUGAUUAGUUUGAUUAUUUUCUUAACUAAAAUCCAUUUAGUUGUAAUUGAUAAAUCGUUCCUUAUGCUCAGCAUAAUACAUAAGGAGUAAAAGUCUCUAUAAAGUUGCCAGAUAUUAUUUGAAGCAGAUCAAUGUUAUAAUUUGAAAACAGUUAUAGUUUGCUUGUAUUCCCCCCCCCCCUGAAAACAUUGAAAAACACGGAAAAGACGUAGGGGUAUGAACUCACCGGACGAAAAAUGUGACGAUUUGGAUGCUAAGUGUUGGUCCGGGGCUUGAAAAUGCACGAGGUUCCUAAGUAUAAUGUAAAGAUACACAUUUGUAUCUAACUAGGACUUAGAUUGAUUAUUUGAUAGGGACAAUUGCUUCUAGUCGCGAAAACACCCCGAUACAAGUGUUUGGAGGGACCCGGGUGACAUUUAGGGACACAUAUAGUUAGGAUAUUGAAUUGGGACUUCAAAGGAACACUCCUUAGGGAUUUUACGGCCAUAAUGACCCUCUCCCCAUGAGUUUACGGCCAUAAACUCAUGGUGGGGGGAGUUAUGGCACAACUUGGCUUGUAACACUUAAGGGAAUUUUUCUAGGUUUGGAUUAAAGUCUUGGAAUGGAUUUUUAACAUCAAAAUGACUUGUUUAUGGGAGUUUACGGCCUAGCAUGGACUCGUGGCCGUAAACUCCUUAAUACCCAUGAAAAUUGUGUUAAAUGAUGCUAAAACAAUUCACAUGUGAUUACUAAAUUUAUUCUUAGGCCUUUCAUGCAUUUUCUUGAAAUUUUGGAGGGGUUUUUGGAGUUUACGGCCUAUGAGACCACCCUCAUGGCCGUAAACUCUCUUAGAGAGUGAUUCCAUGUGUUUUAAAGACAAAAACUUGUUUUUAAGGACUUCUAAAAUUCAUUCCAAGGCUUUAGGGGUGUUAUAGGGAUUAAACAACACUUUAAAAUGAAUUUUCACCAUGUUUUAAGGACUUUACGGCCCAAGCACUUGCCUUGGCCGUAAACUCACAAUAAUCCCUCAAAAAUUAUGUUUCAAGUGUCCAAAGGCUAAACCAAAUGUUCUAAAAUUCAUAUCUAAGCCUUAUUAGUGAUUUGGAAGGGUUUAAGGUCAUGAAAACAUCAAUUAUAUGAGCUUGUUGCCCAAGCAUGAGGCUUGGCCGUAAACUCCUUCAAAUCCUUCAAAAUUCAUGUUUAAAUUGUUAUAAGUCCAAUUCAUGAAGUCAUUAAGUCAUAUCUAGGUCCCAAAUUUGUCUAGAAGGGGUUUAAGGGCUCAAAACCCUUCAAACUUAGUGUUUACGGCCUAGGCAUCUUCCUGGGCCGUAAAAUCUCAUACAAGGCCAAAUUUUAUGAUUCAAUCCCGAAUUUGAAGGUCUAAUAUGCUAUACAAUGAAGUUGGAAAGGUACCUUAGGGAUUUGAGGCCUUAAAAUUAAGUUUUGGACCCUUAAGCUUUGGAUUUAGGAGAGAGGUUAGAGAGAGAGUAGAGAGAGAGGGAAAAAGCUUCAAAUGAAAGGUUUAACAUGUUUAUAUAGUUCCCAAAACUUGGACACGGUGGAAUUCUACCCGAUACCGGGCUUAAACGAGGCUUUAGGUCGCACCCGAUUAAGUUUCCNUAAACGAGGCUUUAGGUCGCACUCGAUUAAGUUUCCGUCACCCGGAGGGGAUGUUUUUAAAACAUAUGAAAUAAAUGUUUUGGGCUAAUUUCAUGAGUUCCUAAAAGGGUUUGGACACUCAUUGGAUUAAAAUAAACGUAUAACUUUAAUUAAUUUAACCCAAAAAUGACAUCGGGACGUUUUGAUAUACGACGAGUUAUACUGGUAGAAUGGGUUUUUCGGCGAUGGAAAACUUUGGGUUGUUACAUUAUCCCCCCGUUAGAGGGAAUUUUGUCCCGAAAUUCAAAGAAUAAGAUACAGAUCAUGAAUUGGAAUGAGAUGCGAAUGGAUUUUUUGCCUCGGAUCUUCACUUUCUCAAGUGGAAUUAGGUCUCUACUGGGCGUUCUAGCGAAUUCUCACUAUCAGAACGUGUCUUUGUUUCGUACUUUGAAUCUCUCUCAAUCUAUGAUAACAAUUGGUUUUCUCAUGGAAGUUCCAACCCUGAACGACUCUGGUUUCCUCAAAGGAAUCACUAGGGUUUCGUUGGGUAGAUUCUUCUAAGGAUUGAGAUGUGAUGUACUGGAUAGAUGUUACCACGCUCUACGGGCACCCGAAAUCUGAAUAUUGCAGAAUCGAUUCCUACGAAGAUCUCGAAGGAUCUGAUGUGGAACUAAGCCAUACAUUCGAAAGAAAUUCCCGGAAAUCCUUCGGGAAAGACAUUUAGAGGAAAGAGCUGCUAACUUCCCGUUUCUCAAUAAUCACAGAAACGAGGGAUGCGUGGUAAUUUAUAUCGGGAAAACUUUUGAGUUCUAAGGCAUGGAAUGAUAUGAAGGUUUGAUGCCGAAGAUCACGAGAACCGGGUCGAGGAAAAGAUCUAGACGAGCGACCCUUUCGAAAUCAAGGAUAACAACAUGAAUGAGACUCGGCCAUUUCAUGUUAAACAUAGCAUCAAAGUACUUUCGUGAAAAGUUUCUCCCUUUUAAAAUCGAAUGGAACAGAAUAGUCCUCCGGACUGAGGAUUCAAUCUAUAGGUACGAAGUUAGUGAUCUCUAUCUCACUGGUUAGUCGACUUGAUGAUACACAUUUCGAUUACAUACGAAGGAUUGAGCUUAGAAGAUGUUCGAAUAGAUAAAUAACAGGUUUCUCUUUUUGUACUAAAAUCGAAAAGAGUUGCAGGUAUAAGAAUUUAUCGAAGAGAAGUAUACCUGCGGCGACAGAGGGAUCAGUGGUCGUAGCUGCUUUGGGGCAAUUCCUUUUGAAGUGCCCAGCUUCACCAUAAUUGUAACAGGCCGGACUGAUUCCCGCUUCGGAUGAUUGGUUCGUUGAUUUGGCUGGUUUCCUGCAGGUUCGAGAAAGGUGGCCCUUAUUACCACAGUUGUCGCAUAUCCUUUCGCAACAUGGGCCAGGAAUGCGGUGGUGGUAGCUACACUUACCACACCAAGGAAGGGUACCAGUGUAUCCAUUAGCAGGAGUUUAGGCUGUGGAACUGACAGCCGAAACAGCAACAGGGGCAGUAGCAGCAUGGACUGCUACCGUUUGCUGUUUCUUAGAAGACCCUUGCGUACUCUGGGCCUUCCACUUGUUCCAGGAUUUCUUUUUGCUUCCACCUCCACUGGUGACUGGCUCGGGGGUGGUAGCUUCCUCAUCAGAGUUGUCUUCGUGAUCGAUCAAGAUUUUUGCAAGACAUUUGGCACUGUCAUAUGUGUCUGGCUUCGCAGCCAACACAUUCCCUUUGGUUGGCUGGGUCAACCCCCAAAUGAACCUCUCAAUCUUUUUACUCUCCGGGGUAACCAUUCCCGGACAAAGUAACGCCAGAUCGUCGAAUCUUAAGGUAUAAGCAGCUAUGUCGGAACCCUUCAUCUUAAGGUUCCAGAGUUCGUGUCCUAGCUUCUGGAGUUCACCACGAGGACAAUAUUCUGCGAGAAGAAGCUCCUUCAUAGCUUCCUAACCCAUAGCAUUCGCUACAGGUAAAGUUAAGGAUUUGACUCGGCCAUUCCACCAAGUCAGGGCUUUGUCUAGGAAGGUACAGGCAGCAAACUUGACUCUAUCAGACUCCGAACAGGCGCAUAUUUCAAAGAUUGAUUUGAUUUUCUCGAACCAUCGGGUUAAAGCAAUGACACCCCCUGUGCCAUCGAAGAAUGUCGGUUUUGCGUUCAUGAAGUCUUUAUAGGAACCCCCUUUUUGGUGUCCCUGGCUAUCAUCUGGGUUUUGGGUUUCACCUCCCGAACCCCUAGAGUUCAGUUGAGGUAAGAGAGCUGAUAUGGUAGCGGAAAUGGUUGCCUGAAGUGUUUCCAAAUCGAUUUGAAUAGGAGGUGGUGGCGGAGGAGGAUUGUUGUUGUUCGUUGAGCUGGGUCUCUUUCUUGGAGGCAUCUUGAUCUAAAAAGAUCAGGAAAGAGAGGAUCAUAAGUCCUCUGAAUUGAAUCAAGAGAUAUGGAACAGGGGAUAUCUGAUCAAGACAAAUAUAACAUCAUACUAAGCGAUAAAGCAGAAAGGAGUUGUCAAGACAGAACAUUUUAUCGCGAGAGGAAUGAUCAAGGAAUAACGCGUAUACGAGGAUUUAUACAAAGGAUCGGCUUGAGAAAUACUCCCAUAGUAUUUCAUGGUUCGCUGCAGCGACGAUUUGUUGUUUGGGAUAUUGGGUAAGUUUUAGGUAUGCCGCAUACCACAGUCACUCCCAAGCACAUGUUGGCCGUGUCUCGAAUGAAUAUAGUUGGCCAGGCUAUAUUGACCCUAGACACGACUACAUAACUGCCCAGGUUUAACCGCAGUGUACAACACCCAUUUACUUAUGUUUUGUUCUACUUGUAGUUACGGAUUUCGACGGCUCGGCAUACUUAAAUACUUUUGAAAAUACUUAUAUUUUGUAGGAUACUUUUAGUUCAGAGCACUUAGGCCCCUUAAUGUUUAUAGUUUUAUACCAUGUAAGGUUUGGUAUACUCUGUUCACUAUAAACAAGGGCUCUGAUACCAAUCUGUCACACCCCGAAAACCAAAGGCGGAAACGUUCCCGGGGUUGACUCCAUGUUGUGUAUCAAAUCCAAUGUACAUAGUAAUCACAGUAAACAACCAUUACAUUACAUAUAUAUAUGAAAGUUUACAUUUGGUUCAAAAGUAAAUUGUACAAAAGUUGUACAUAUAUCAUAUGAAAAAAACGAGACGAGUCUUCCACGCACUUUGUCUUCACCAAAAGAGAUCACUGGGUACCUGUCUAACUUGGACCUGAGAAUACAAGCAGUUUGAAAAUCAGCAUAAAGCUGGUGAGUUCAUAAGCGAUUUUGUUUUAUGAAAAUGUAUCGGUUUCCUUUAGUUUUCCGAAAAGGCUUGUUAUCCAAGAAAAUCCCAUAUUUUCUUAUGUAAAUUUAGUUUAGUUCUCUUUAGUUACAGUUCAGUUACACGUUAUAAGUGAACCCCAGGAAAAUCUCAUAUUUUCCUAAAUGCAAGAUUGAUUGAACAACAUAGAGUAUAGUUUAAUACACAAAACUAUAUUUUGAAAUCAUAGGAUUACUAUCUCGAAUUAGAUAUGAAAUAUCAUAAUAUACACGAACUGUAGAUAAAAUGUAGUUUGAAAACCUUGGGACUAACAUCCCGAACUAGUUACAACAUAGUUUGAUAAAACCAUGGGAUCACUAUCCCGAAACUAGAUAUAAGAUAAUUGGAUAAAGUCAUGGGAUUAUCAUCCCGUACUAGAUAUAGUUUCAAAACCAUGGGAUUACUAUCCUGUACAAGAUAUAGAUUUGAAAUCAUGGGACUAUCAUCCCGUACUAGAUAUGAGAUAUAUACAUACUGAAAACCAUGGGAAUAACAUCCCGUACCAGAUACAAGUUCGAUAGACUGAAAACCAUGGGACUACCAUCCCGGACUAGAUACGAAAUAGUUUGAUAAAACCAUGGGAUCACUAUCCCGAACUAGAUAUAGAUUCUAAAACCAAAGCUGUGAAUACACUUAUAUUACUACAUAUUAUGAGUCGGGUAACCAUGCUGAUACGACAACGAGACCUCCUUGACGUUUGUCAGACGUCGGACGAUAACCAGAAUAUGUCAUCCUAGGCGUGCCCGCCUAACUGUAGCUAGCAGUUAAGAUGUGGGAUUGUCAGUCCUGAAUAGAUCUAUUCACAAAUUCCUCGCUCUCCCUCCAGGAGACUCUGGUUACACUUCCGGAGAGGAUUUAUUGAUCAUCCAUAAAGGGUAAUGACAACUCACAAACUAGUACUAAACUAUUCACAGUAUUCUCAUACGAUAUCAAACAUACAAAGGUUGUGAAACAUAAUACAGUGAAAAUAGAUACGUACAAAGAGAUUAUUUAACAAUACAUUCAAAUGAUACGGAGAUGAACUGAAUCAGACAUAGUUUAUCUAAUAACUGUAUACAAAUAUCAGUACAUGAUAUAAAGAGAAAUAUAGAACCCCAAAUUAUUCCCAUAAUAAUUUGAUUAGUUUGAUUAUUUUCUUAACUAAAAUCCAUUUAGUUGUAAUUGAUAAAUCGUUCCUUAUGCUCAGCAUAAUACAUAAGGAGUAAAAGUCUCUAUAAAGUUGCCAGAUAUUAUUUGAAGCAGAUCAAUGUUAUAAUUUGAAAACAGUUAUAGUUUGCUUGUAUUCCCCCCCCCCCUGAAAACAUUGAAAAACACGGAAAAGACGUAGGGGUAUGAACUCACCGGACGAAAAAUGUGACGAUUUGGAUGCUAAGUGUUGGUCCGGGGCUUGAAAACGCACGAGGUUCCUAAGUAUAAUGUAAAGAUACACAUUUGUAUCUAACUAGGACUUAGAUUGAUUAUUUGAUAGGGACAAUUGCUUCUAGUCGCGAAAACACCCCGAUACAAGUGUUUGGAGGGACCCGGGUGACAUUUAGGGACACAUAUAGUUAGGAUAUUGAAUUGGGACUUCAAAGGAACACUCCUUAGGGAUUUUACGGCCAUAAUGACCCUCUCCCCAUGAGUUUACGGCCAUAAACUCAUGGUGGGCUGAGUUAUGGCACAACUUGGCUUGUAACACUUAAGGGAAUUUUUCUAGGUUUGGAUUAAAGUCUUGGAAUGGAUUUUUAACAUCAAAAUGACUUGUUUAUGGGAGUUUACGGCCUAGCAUGGACUCGUGGCCGUAAACUCCUUAAUACCCAUGAAAAUUGUGUUAAAUGAUGCUAAAACAAUUCACAUGUGAUUACUAAAUUUAUUCUUAGGCCUUUCAUGCAUUUUCUUGAAAUUUUGGAGGGGUUUUUGGAGUUUACGGCCUAUGAGACCACCCUCAUGGCCGUAAACUCUCUUAGAGAGUGAUUCCAUGUGUUUUAAAGCCAAAAACUUGUUUGUAAGGACUUCUAAAAUUCAUUCCAAGGCUUUAGGGGUGUUAUAGGGGUUAAACAACACUUUAAAAUGAAUUUUCACCAUGUUUUAAGGAGUUUAUGGCCCAAGCACUUGCCUUGGCCGUAAACUCACAAUAAUCCUUCAAAAAUUAUGUUUCAAGUGUCCAAAGGCUAAACCAAAUGUUCUAAAAUUCAUAUCUAAGCCUUAUUAGUGAUUUGGAAGGGUUUAAGGUCAUGAAAACAUCAAUUAUAUGAGCUUAUGGCCCAAGCAUGAGGCUUGGCCGUAAACUCCUUCAAAUCCUUCAAAAUUCAUGUUUAAAUUGUUAUAAGUCCAAUUCAUGAAGUCAUUAAGUCAUAUCUAGGUCCCAAAUUUGUCUAGAAGGGGUUUAAGGGCUCAAAACCCUUCAAACUUAGUGUUUACGGCCUAGGCAUCUUCCUGGGCCGUAAAAUCUCAUACAAGGCCAAAUUUAUGAUUCAAUCCCGAAUUUGAAGGUCUAAUAUGCUAUACAAUGAAGUUAGAAAGGUACCUUAGGGAUUUGAGGCCUUAAAAUUGAGUUUUGGACCCUUAAACUUGGAUUUUAGGAGAGAGGUUAGAGAGAGAGUAGAGAGAGGGAGAAAGCUUCAAAUGAAAGGUUUAACAUGUUUAUAUAGUUCCCAAAACUUGGACACGGUGGAAUUCUACCCGAUACCGGCCUUAAACGAGGCUUUAGGUCGCACCCGAUUAAGUUUCCGUCACCCGGCGGGGACGUUUCUAAAACUUAUGAAAUAAAUGUUUUGGGCUAAUUUCAUGAGUUCCUAAAGGUUUUGGACACUCAUUGGAUUAAAAUAAACGUAUAACUUUAAUUAAUUUAACCCAAAAACGACAUCGGGACGUUUCGAUAUACGACAAGGUAUACGGGUAGAAUGGGUUUUUCGGCGAUGGAAAACUUCGGGUUGUUACACAAGUGCUACUUAGAGCAUAGAUGUUAAAGGCUAUUCCUUAAUCAAAAGACAGAGAUGUACUACACAUCAUCUAAUGGCGAUGGGAAUUCCUCGAGUGAGCCCUGAGGUCUGACACUUGACGAAACACCUCUUGAAGGUGUCGCUCCUGAGCCCUCUGAUGGGCUCGAAGUUCCAAGACUUCAGCUCGGGAGGCAGCCAGCUGUUGCUGCAGGGUUUCAUUGGUUCUCUGGGUCCGNUCGGAUGCGGGCUGUGUUGACACCUGAGUGGGCAUCAAUCUCCAUGACCCGGUCGAUGGCUGCUCGACCUUGCUCAACAUUAUGAGCUAUUCUGCAGAUAAUGACAGGCAGAGCUCGGUCAGCAGAGCCACCAUUGCUAACGUGGUAAAAGGUUCAGUCCCCAAAGUAUGGUAAGGGUUGACCUUGUUCGUCACUCUAGCGAUUCAAGUUGGUUGCCCACAAGGGAGUAGGACCUGGAAAAGCUGGUUGGGGGUUGUUGUUCGGGGAUUGACCUACUAGCGGUAGGUUGUUGACUUCAGGCUCGGAGUCAGAUCCAUCAGAAAAGCCUUCUACGAGGUGAUCAUCCAAAGGGAUUGGAUGCUCAUCUUCGGGCUCUUCUUCGAUCCACUCUGCAUUGCCUUCAUUUGGAACGUACGGGUCGCCGUGAUGGAAUCCAGCCAUUUAAAUCUACGCGAGAAGAGAGGUAUAAGAAUAUAGUAUACAUGUAACUAGUAGUACAAAAUACACCUAUAGUAUUUUAAGUUUAAGUUCUACUGAUCUUCUUGUGGUAUUAUUGGUAAGUUUUUAGACUUGUUAACCCAUCACAACCAUUCUAGGGCAUAUGCUAAUCACUCCUAGGACCAGCAUAGUUGAUCAGGCUAUGCCAUUCCCAGGACUGACCAUACAUCCCCGAGCUCACUUGUGAUAUUUAACAAUCGUAAUACUUUUGUUCUUGUCAUUGUGACACUGAUUUUAGUAUGAAUGCAGACUAGUAUACUUAAUUAAAUAUUUUAAUAUUUAAAGUAUAGACUCUUGGUCAGAGUUCUUUAAUCCCUAAUGGGUUUAUAGUUUAGUAUAUCUUUUAUGGGUUGAUAUACUUGAUUCACUAUAAACAAUGCUCUGAUACCAAUCUGUCACACCCCAAAACCAAGAACGGCGGAAACGUUCUGGGGCGGAGGACGUCAUGUAUAGUAUCACAACACAGUAAAUGUAAAUAAGCAAACAACAUCAUCCAUUGCAUUAAAUAUAUAAUUUUAAUACAAGCGUGUUCUGUACAGUUUUAGACACCAAAAAUAUAAUGUAAAUCAAAAUAAUAUGAUGAGUCUUGAAUGCGCUCCAUCUUCUCAAAAGCUGGCAUCGGUACCUGUCUACUGAUGACCUGAGAAUACAAGUUAUUUUGAAAGAGUUUAUCAGCAUUAAGCUGGUGAGUUCAUAAGUAUUUUAGUGUCGAUGUUUGUUAUCAAAACGUUUGAACGUGUCUCAAGUAUAAGUUUGUAAAAUGUAUGUAAGUGUUUGUAAAAGUUUGAAUCUCUCAGAAAAACCUAUAUUUUCUAUUAAAGUAGCCUUCUACCAAGGCUUAACUGUUUUGUAUGCUCGUUUGUUGUAAAAGUGUGUAAUUUCCCAAGUGUAACUAUCAUUUAACAAAUAUAGUUUGUACAUUAAUGUUUAAGUGAGGUUAUCACUAAAAAUAUGUAAUGGGUAAAUCAUUGUAGUACUGUAGUUUUGUAUUAUAGGAACUACUGCUGUACUAACUACCUUAAACCGGAUUUAUAUUAAGGUAUAAUGUGAUAAAUUGCACCAUACUAUCGACUGGUAACAACGACAUACGAAUGGUCGUAAUAACGGAAUGAUGUUUGGCACCCGCAGACCUGCAGGUCCGGCUGUAGCUAGCAGCAAGGUGUAGGAUAGUCAAUCCAGUAUAGAUCUAUACGCAAACUCACGCUCUCCCUCCAAGAGAAUUCUGGCUACAACUCGGGCCAUGACAUUUAAGGCAUGCUCCGAUACAGUGGAUCACAAUUGUUAACGUAUUCUUGUAUAUGUAAUGUAAUGUUUCUCGUUCUAGUAUAGUUGUAUAUGUUCUCUUCCUAGUAUAGUUGUAUAUGUUCUCUUUCUAGUAUAGUUGUAUAUGUUCUCCUUCUAGUAUAGUUGUAUAUGUUCUCAUAGUAAUGUAAUGUAUAGACUCAUGAAUGAACUGACUCAUUGAUCUAGAAAUUGUAGUAGUAUGAUCCUGUGUUACCCCGAUGGUAACUUACUAAUGAUGUGUCUAAUACGUAUGAAUAUGGAAGUACUUUUAUGUCUAUAUAUGUAUAUUUGAUAUAUAACUAAUAUUGAAACGACCUUUGGACGGUUACCCGAAAUCCCACCAGACCACAUCCAAAUCGAGAAAAAGGAAAUAGGGCGGAUGGUCUUCCUAAGCCCUUUAAACAUUUCUUAUAUAUCUAUACAUAUAUGGGCAUGCAAUUUAUAAGAAGUAAAACAAAGUUUAAUAAAAGCAUUUGAUAAGUAAAAGAGCUUAUAGAACAUUUUGAAGUAAAACAGUUUGAUAAACAGUUAGAACAGCGAUAAAAUCAUUGGUUUUCUAGUUAUUAAUCGCAUGUGAUCAAUGUAAUCACAUGUGAUUGAUGCAAUAACUAUAAGUAUUUAACUUGUAUCCCCCCAUAAAGUAUUUAAAACAUUUAAAAGCAUUUCAAAGGUUAAUUAAAGGGGUAUGAACUCACUUGUGGUGAGUGGAUUGGAUUGAAGUAUCGGGUACCGUGCUAGGUGGCAAACGGAGACUUGUUCACACGCACGAGCCUAGUUAUCAUAUAAUGAGCAUAUAUAUAACUAAUUAGCCAAAUAAUAACUUAAUGAAAUAAGUUGGGACACUUAGGAACAUGUAAACACUUUGUAUAAGUGUUAUAGGUCCUAAUGGUUGCAUCUAAGUUGUUAUGGGACAAGGCUAAAGGGGUUUAAUGCUUCCAAGGACCUUGUAUAAGAGUUUACUACCCAAUAAACCCCACACAAGGAGUUUACGGUCGUAAACCCUUGAGUUUACGGCCGUGAACUCCAAUCUUGGUGGUUUUUGGUGUUUUGAAGUGCUAAAUGAUUUCUAGAAUAAGCCUAGCUUCGUGGUUUAAUCCUUUGGGUGUUUUGAAGUGCUAAAUGAUUGUUUUCUAGCCUUAAAUGAUCAUACAUAUUAUCCUAAACUACUUACCUAACAAGGAAAUGGGACUAGAUAGCUCUUAAGCUUCGUUUUGGAGUUUACUCCCCAAGAACGUUCUUGGGCGGUAAACUCCCGAAUCACAUAUAUUUGACAUGCAAUCUAUGUUAUUAAGCAUAAAACAAGCAUUAAAACACAACUAGGGAAGUGGACUCACGAUUUGGGAUGAAAACCCGAAGAUCCGUGAGAGAGAAAAUGGCUUUUCUCUAGUUGGAAAUGUGAAUAAUGAAUGAAUUUAGUUCAGAAAUCUAUUUAUAGUCCUGAAAUAUUUUGGCAGAAAAUAUUUUUAUUCCGGAACUGAACUCUAACAUUAAGAAGUUUUGAAAUACUCAAGUUUCACAAACCCAUGAGCAUCCACUCUCCUGAUAACUCCUUAAACAUAAACCCUAAUGUACACAAACUUAUUCGGAAAAGUCUGAUAUUCGUUGAAACUGGACUAGCUUCUAUUGAAUAGAUAAUGUUCAUACAAAAUGGAAAUUUUGGGUUGUCACACUUAGAGUCAUCGGAAGGGUAGGAUAGUCUUUUACCCUUCCUAGAGG
rnacentral:lncRNA from 1 species